GACGAACGCUGGCGGCGUGCUUAACACAUGCAAGUCGAACGGAAAGGCCCCUUUUGGGUUACUCGAGUGGCGCACGGGUGAGUAACACGUGAGUAACCUGCCCUUCACUUCGGGAUAACUCCAGGAAACAGGGGCUCAUAUCGGUUAGGAAUCCUUGCUGCAGGGUGGGGGUUGGAUAGCUUCGGUGGUUUUGGUUGGACUCGCGGCUUAUCAGCUUGUUGGUGGGGUAGUGGCUUACCAAGCCGUUCAGGGGUAGCCGGCCGGCGAGGGGGACCGGCCACAUUGGGACUGAGAGACGGCCCAGACUCCUACGGGGGGCAGCAGUGGGGAAUAUUGCACAAAGGGCGGAAGCCGGAUGCAGCAACGCCGCGGGCGGGAUGACGGACUUCGGGUUGUAGAACAGUUUCAGCAGGGGCGAAGCUUGUGGUGACGGUACCUGCAGAAGAAGCACCGGCUAACUACGUG
rnacentral:rRNA from 1 species